UGAGAAUUGAAAGAAAUCAAUUUAAUCCAAAUGCAAUGAACCAGCAGCCUUGCUAUGAUAAUCAGCAGAAAAAAGUCGGAUUUAUUGAGUUUCUUAAAACUUAUAAAAUGUGGGUAUGACGCAGUAAAGCUCAAAACUUAGUACGAUAUUAGUUUUAUAAUUGACGGGCU